rfam:Schistosoma haematobium scaffold1062_5, whole genome shotgun sequence.
ACCCAGAUGACGAGUCCCAAAUAGAACAAAACGUUCGUCUUGGAU